rnacentral:rRNA from 1 species
UACAGAGGGUGCAAGCGUUGCUCGGAAUUACUGGGCGUAAAGGGCGCGUAGGUGGCCUUCUUAGUCAGACGUGAAAUCCCCAGGCUUAACCUGGGAACUGCGUCUGAUACUGGAAGGCUUGAGGAUGGGAGAGGGAUGUAGAAUUCCAGGUGUAGCGGUGAAAUGCGUAGAGAUCGGAAAGAACACCAAUGGCGAAAGCAACUCUGCUGGGCCGACACUGACACUGAGAGACGAAGCUAGGGGAGCAAAUGGG